rnacentral:rRNA from 1 species
ACGAACGCUGGCGGCGCGCCUAACACAUGCAAGUCGAACGGAGUCAAGAGGAGCUUGCUUUUCUUGACUUAGUGGCGAACGGGUGAGUAACGCGUGAGUAACCUGCCCUGGAGUGGGGGACAACAGUUGGAAACGACUGCUAAUACCGCAUAAGCCCACGGAUCCGCAUGGAUCUGCGGGAAAAGGAUUUAUUCGCUUCAGGAUGGACUCGCGUCCAAUUAGCUAGUUGGUGAGGUAACGGCCCACCAAGGCGACGAUUGGUAGCCGGACUGAGAGGUUGAACGGCCACAUUGGGACUGAGACACGGCCCAGACUCCUACGGGAGGCAGCAGUGGGGGAUAUUGCACAAUGGGGGAAACCCUGAUGCAGCGACGCCGCGUGGAGGAAGAAGGUUUUCGGAUUGUAAACUCCUGUCGUUAGGGACGAUAAUGACUGUACCUAACAAGAAAGCACCGGCUAACUACGUG